GGUUUAUUAGUCUAUAGAAGACUCUUACUUUGAAAGUAAGAGAAAAGAUUGAUUGUCUUGUAAGCUG
rnacentral:tRNA from 1 species